rnacentral:lncRNA from 1 species
AGUGUUAAUUUAAGCGAUCAAUGCUGAUUAUCACACUUGUGCCGUUUCGUGGAAUGCUUCCUCGGAUUUCAUGUCCUCUCCUAAUUUAAUGGGGGAAAUCAACCUCAGAAAAACUUUAAGCAACAUUUGUUUUUUCCCAGAGAUCAGUUGGGAAACACAAGAAUUAAUAGCCCAAUGUCAUCUAUUCUACUGCUCUUUCAGGGUGUCAUUCAUGGCAACUUCACAUUGGAUUAAACUGGUAUAGGCCAUCAAAUUCUAUUCCAUAUCAAGGUACACUAAGUCACUAGCAGAAGGAUUAUCCAACCAACCUAUUGACAAUUCAAGCCUUAGAGAAUAGGGGUUCAUACACCUUGAUUUUUUACUAAUAAAUACAAAUCAGAGAUUU